GGCGCUGUGGCUUAGUGGUAGAGCGCUAGCCUUGAGCUGGAGAGCUCAGGGACAGUGCCC
rnacentral:tRNA from 1 species